rnacentral:rRNA from 1 species
GACGAACGCUGGCGGCGUGCUUAACACAUGCAAGUCGAACGGUAAGGCCCUUCGGGGUACACGAGUGGCGAACGGGUGAGUAACACGUGGGUGAUCUGCCCUGCACUUCGGGAUAAGCCUGGGAAACUGGGUCUAAUACCGGAUAGGACCACUGCCUGCAUGGGUGGUGGUGGAAGGCUUUUGCGGUGUGGGAUGGGCCCGCGGCCUAUCAGCUUGUUGGUGGGGUGAUGGCCUACCAAGGCGACGACGGGUAGCCGGCCUGAGAGGGGGACCGGCCACACUGGGACUGAGAUACGGCCCAGACUCCUAUGGGAGGCAGCAGUGGGGAAUAUUGCACAAUGGGCGCAAGCCUGAUGCAGCGACGCCGCGUGAGGGAUGACGGCCUUCGGGUUGUAAACCUCUUUCAGCACCGACGAAGCGCAAGUGACGGUAGGUGCAGAAGAAGGACCGGCCAACUACGUGCCAGCCGCCGCGGUAA